AAACGGAUAGGCUCGAUCCUAGCCUUUCUAUUAACUCUUAGUAAGCUUACACAUGCAAGCAUCCCCGCCCGAGUGAAAAUGCCCUCUAGAUCACCCGCAUCAAAAGGAGCAAGUAUCAAGGGCCCACAAAUGCAGCUCAAAACACUUUGCUCAACCACACCCCAACGGGAAACAGCAGUGAUAAAUCUUUAGUAAUAAAUGAAAGUUUAACUAAGCUACGCUGAUAUCUAGGGUUAGUCAAUUUCAUGCCAGCCACCGCAGCCAUACGAUUAACGCAAGCUAAUAGAACUCGGCCUAAAGCGUGUUUAAGGUCUACCCUCAAUAAACCUAAACUCCAUCUAAGUUGUAAAAAACUUUAGCUGAAAUAAAAUAUACUACGAAAGUGGCUUUAGUAUCUUGAAGACACAAUAGCUAAGACUCAAACUGGGAUUAGAUACCCCACUAUGCUUAGCCCUAAACUCUAGUAGUUACAUUAACAAAACCAUUGGUCAGAAUACUACAAGCAAAGGCUUAAAACUCAAAGGACCUGGCAGUGCUUUAUAUCCCUCUAGAGAAGCCUGUUCUAUAAGCUAUAAACCCAAUACACCUCACCACCUCUUGCCCCCAGCCUAUUACCGCCAUCUUCAGCAAACCCUAAAAAGGUUGUAGAGUAAGCACAAGUGUACACAUAAAAAUCUGGUUGGUGUAGCUCAUGAGGUGGCAAGAAUUGGGCUACAUUUUCUAUAUCCAGAAAACAUCAUGACUACCUUUAUGAAAUCUAAUGGCUCAAGGAGGAUGUAGCAGUAAACCCAGAGCAGAGUGCUUGGCCAUGAAGCACGCACCCACUGCCCAUCACCCUCCUCCAGUACUAUUCUAGAGAUUACUAUUACUAAAUACUUUCUACACACGUUGAGAGGAGAUAAGUCGUAACACGGUAAGCAUACUGGAAAGUACAUUUGGGAAAAGUAAAGU
rnacentral:ncRNA from 1 species